rnacentral:tRNA from 1 species
GGCAGUUUAGCUUAAAGGUAAAGCACUUUGACCCAUAAUCACGGAGAUGUGAGUUCGAGUCUCAUGGCUGGCC